AUUGAACGCUGGCGGCAUGGCUAAUGCAUGCAAGUCGAACGAAAGCCCUUCGGGGCGAAAGUGGCGAAAGGGCGAGUAAUACGAUCGAACGUACCCCAAGGUGGAGGAUAGUGUCGGGAAACUGACGGUAAUACUCCAUGUGCUCUUCGGAGGAAAGCUUUGGCGCCUCGGGAGCGGCGAUCGUCCUAUCAGGUAGUUGGUGAGGUAAUGGCUCACCAAGCCGAAGACGGGUAGCGGGUGUGAGAGCAUGACCCGCCGCAUCGGGACUGAGACACUGCCCGGACUCCUACGGGAGGCUGCAGCGACGAAUCUUCCGCAAUGGGCGCAAGCCUGACGGAGCAAUGCCGCGUGUGGGACGAAGCGUCUUCGACGUGUAAACCACUGUCAGAAUCUAGGAACACUGACCAGACUCAAAGGAAGGGCCGGCUAACCUCGUG
rnacentral:rRNA from 1 species